rnacentral:ncRNA from 1 species
AUAAUCAUUUGAAAAGCAAUAAUUUCACUACUAAGAAUAUAGUAAUUUACUAUCCUUUUAGUUGAUGUUAUUUGCUAGUCUUUCAACCUAUUGAAUUUUAUUUGUGCUAUUUCUUAUAGACUCCAAGGUGUGCUGCCACUUUCAAGCUAUUUGGACGGGAUAAAUCAUCCCGUC